AAAACUACCGGUUCCCGUCCGAUCACCGAGGUAAAGCAACGCCGAGCCAGGUCAGUACCUAGAUGAGUGACCUUUUGGGAAUACCAAGUGUUGUAAG